GGGUACUGGAUACUGCUUGUAGAUCGUAUAUUUGUAAUUCAUUACAGUGACUAUAGAAUAUCAAAGAUCUGAAAAGAGGUGACCUUGAGCUUUAUGGUGCAAGUGGAGAAUCCAUUAGUACAGAGACUGUGAAAACCUGUAUGCUAUAUUUAUCUUUGGAUAAAAUUUUAAAAUUAAAAGACUAUUAUUAUAUGUUGAAGGUCUUUAGAAACAUUAUUUCUAUACCUUUGUUAUUAAAGUAAGGUUAUGAAUAAGGCUAAUAGGAAACGAAUGCUCCAUUUUCUUUUUUAAUGAAUUUUAUGGUAGUGGUUAUAUUGAUAAC
rnacentral:lncRNA from 1 species